CAGGUUUAAAAAACUUGUUAUGCUGCGGACUCAAACACAAAUGCAAAGCCUACUUUCUUCUGUAGUGGGAAGCUGAAGAUGUGAAUUGCUUUUUUCUCACUUCUGCACAUCUGUUCACAUAAAACUGCAAGUGAAACCACUACUGCGCAGGCGCCUUGACUGUACUUCUGAGCGUGUUCUCCUCUUCCCACCUCUGCUUUGCUGAGAUGAUGCUACCGCGCAGGCCCAGAGAGAGAAGCCAGAUGCUGUGAAAGUAUGACUUCCAAACAAAGAAUACCACACACCUGGGCUAUGAUUCAGGAGGCUGGAAAUCCAAGAUCAAGAGACGAGUCUACCUGUGGUGAGGACUUUCUCACUACACAUUUGAAUUAAGAUCUUGAUGAAAUAUUUUAGUUUUCUUGCUAAUGAUUCUCUCUCCCUCUCUCUCUUCUCUCUCUCUCUCUCUCUCUCUCUCUCUGUGAGUCUUCUUGUCACCUAACAUCCAUGGCUCAUAAAUGGAGUUUAAUAAA